rnacentral:rRNA from 1 species
CGGGGUGAGUAACGCGUGAGGAACCUGCCUCAGAGAGGGGGAUAACACACCGAAAGGUGUGCUAAUACCGCAUAACAUAUGAGAGGGGCAUCCCUUUUAUAUCAAAGAUUUAUUGCUCUGAGAUGGCCUCGCGUCCAAUUAGCUAGUUGGUGAGGUAACGGCCCACCAAGGCGACGAUUGGUAGCCGGACUGAGAGGUUGAACGGCCGCAUUGGGACUGAGACACGGCCCAGACUCCUACGGGAGGCAGCAG